rnacentral:rRNA from 1 species
CGGAGGGGCGUAGCGUUGUUCGGAAUUACUGGGCGUAAAGACGCACGUAGGCGGACCGGAAAGUACAGAGGUGAAAUACCCAGGGCGUCAACCUUGGAACUGCCUUUGAAACUAAUCGGUCUGGAGUUCGAGAGAGGUGAGUGGAAUUCCGAGUGUAGAGGUGAAAUUCGUAGAUAUUCGGAGGAACACCAGUGGCGAAGGCGGCUCACUGGCUCGAUACUGACGCUGAGGUGCGAAAGCGUGGGGAGCAAACAGGAUU